UACGUAGGGUGAAAGCGUUGUCCGGAAUUAUUGGGCGUAAAGAGCUCGUAGGUGGCCUGUCGCGUCGGCUGUGAAAACUCGGGGCUCAACUCCGAGCUUGCAGUCGAUACGGGCAGGCUAGAGUUCGGCAGGGGAGACUGGAAUUCCUGGUGUAGCGGUGAAAUGCGCAGAUAUCAGGAGGAACACCGGUGGCGAAGGCGGGUCUCUGGGCCGAUACUGACACUGAGGAGCGAAAGCGUGGGGAGCGAACAGG
rnacentral:rRNA from 1 species